GACGAACGCUGGCGGCGUGCUUAACACAUGCGAGUCGAACGGAAAGGCCCUGCUUUCGUGGGGUGCUCGAGUGGCGAACGGGUGAGUAACACGUGAGUAACCUGCCCUUGACUUUGGGAUAACUUCAGGAAACUGGGGCUAAUACCGGAUAGGAGCUCCUGCUGCAGGGUGGGGGUGGGAAAGUUUCGGCGGUUGGGGAUGGACUCGCGGCUUAUCAGCUUGUUGGUGGGGUAGUGGCUUACCAAGGCUUUGACGGGUAGCCGGCCUGGGAGGGUGGCCGGCGACAUUGGGACUGAGGGACGGCCCAGACUCCUACGGGAGGCAGCAGUGGGGAGUAUUGCACAAUGGGCGGAAGCCUGAUGCAGCAACGCCGCGUGCGGAAUGACGGCCUUCGGGUUAUAAACCGCUUUCGCCUGUGACGAAGCGUGAGUGACGGUAAUGGGUAAAGAAGCACCGGCUAACUACGUG
rnacentral:rRNA from 1 species